UGAUCUGGUUUUGACAGUGGCCACCCUAUUAAUCACCAGGAUUGAUUUGGCUGGUCUGGUUGACUAGGUGGGCAUUAGUGCUCCCCACAUGCCCCUCCCAAAGGUGAGUGCUCCACGGAAGAAAAUAGCCCUUCUCAAUAAAGGAGGGUGACUUUUUGUUGCAGGGUGUACAAAUAGCUGUGCUCCCCAGCCACAGCCUACAAACAAGCUCAUAAGAGACAAUGUUUAAAACCUUCAGCCAGGCUGGGCGUGGUGGUGCGUACCUUUAAUCCCAGCACUCGGGAGGCAGAGGCAGGCAGAUUUCUGAGUUC
rnacentral:snRNA from 1 species